UGGUUCGGUCUGGGGCGGCCGCAGCGGCAGAGGCAGCGGCAGAGGAGGGGAGUAGCCCUGCCCCUGGCGAGCUGGUGGGUUAGCUCCCGUCUUCCCGGAGGCCGGGCCUGGGAGCGGCCUCUGCUGCCCCAGGUCGCCAGACACACCUGUCCCACUCAGCUUGCUGAGGAGGGGAGUGGGGCAGUGCAAUUAGGGUGCGGGGGUGACGUGGGUAGGGGGCCCGCCGCCCGGGAGCCGGCAGUUUGCUCCGCUCCUUCCCGCGGCGUGGCCUGGGGGCGGCCUCUGCUGCCCAAGAAGCCGGACGCCCGUCUCCAGAAUCCUAGAGAGUCCCCUGUCAUCACUGUCAGUAUCAUCAUCAUCAUCAUCAUCAUCAUGUAAUGGAUUCCUCUGGACGAUUCUAGGAAAAUAAAGAGAUGGAUGUGGAGACACGUACGUGAGUGUGUGCGUAUACACUGAGAACAAUUAUUAGACGUUAGAUGCACAAUAUCCAUUCCAUUUAGAGAAGAAUGUGGUCAUGAAAUCCUGAUGUGGUGAACGAAGGAAGCGGUAGGAACAGGAUGGUCAAUGGAAGGGAGGAGGAAGUGAGCAAAGCUGGGAGCAUAGAUCCUCUGUUAGGAGACCAGCACAUUGGUGUGAAUGAAGGGACUGUGGUGGCAGAACAAUG